CGUAGGCGGGCAAGCGUUGUCCGGAUUUACUGGGCGUAAAGAGCGCGUAGGCGGAAAUUUAAGCGUGGCCUGAAAGCCCCCGGCUCAACCGGGGAGUGCGGCUGCGAACUGGAUUUCUUGAGGACGAUAGAGGAGAGUGGAAUUCCUGGUGUAGCGGUGAAAUGCGUAGAUAUCAGGAGGAACACCCGAGGCGAAGGCGGCUCUCUGGGUCGUACCUGACGCUGAGGCGCGAAAGCGUGGGGAGCGAACGGGAUUAGAUACCCCGGUAGUCCACGCCGUAAACGAUGGUCACUAGGUGUGUGUGGUAUCGACCCCGCACGUGCCGCAGCUAACGCAAUAAGUGACCCGCCUGGGGAGUACGGCCGCAAGGUUG
rnacentral:rRNA from 1 species